ensembl:lncRNA
UAAUAUUCAAUGCUAGGAGGUGCAGCAUCAGCAAAUGGGCUCCUAUUGUAACUGGAGUGUCCACUCAAAGACAAUCCUUCAACUAUCUGUUCAUAAUAUCAGACUUUUUUCAUGCUGGGCCUUCAAAAUUUAUUGGUGUAGUUACAUUUUGGUAAAACCAAGUUAACAGAGAACAAUGGCUGCCAAAAGACAAUUGUAGCUAUUACUCUCUACAAACAAUUACCUUAAUAUACCUUCAGGGAUAUUGCUGCAUUUAUGCUACACUCGUGAGAAGGGCUACUUAUUUCUGCGUUUGUGGUUUGUGUCCCUUUGGAGACCAGUGAGAUGACUUUUUUUUUUUUUCUUAACCCUCUCUGUGAGGUGUUGUUCUUUAUUGGUGACGACCUUAAGGUUAGGCAUUUGAGGUUUUUCUUUGAUGAUCCUUAAAAAUGCUAACUCUUUUAACCUUAGUGACAAAAAAAUUGCAACCUGCUGUAAAAAUAUGACUAUAUACUAUUUGCGUUCUAAACUAUUAUCUUUUAAAACUACUUAAGCCUGAAAUAUACAUAUAAAAAAAUAAUUACAAUUCAUUUUAUUUUAACCCUUUGAAGUUCAGUUUGUUUACAUAGCUUAUUUUUAUUAGAAGCUGAGAUGGGUUAGUGAUUUCAGCCACACUGAUUUUUGUGCAUUAUUUUUCUCUACAGUGUCAGAUUCUUUUUUUUUUUCAUACUAAUGAAAAACAUGCCACCUUCCCACAAAUGGCUUUUUUGCCUUUAAAUGACAUAGUCUUUUGAAAGUACUUCAGAUGAGCAUCCCUACAUAAGUCUGCAGUUCCUCUGUAUCUACAUAAGCAACUGAAUGUUUCUCAUGCUGAUUUAUCAUGGCUACAACUUGCUUCUGGAUGUCAUCCAUCAGCAGCAGUGCAUAGCUGGUGGCAUGGUGUGUAGGUCCCAGGAUCAAACCUCUGACUGAUGGGACAUAGCAUUGCAGUUAUUGUGGAAGACCAAAGUAGGGAAAUGACAGGGCCGUGCAGAGAUGUUUGAAGGGACAGGUGCUCAAAGUUAAAAAGGAGCACAUAAAACCAGGCUAAAUAACAACAACCC